GGAAGAAGCGCAGCUUCACUGAGUCUGAGCUCCAAACUCGAGACGCAAAGAUCUGUAUUAUUUGGUAGCUUCUCGUCAGGGAUAAACACCAAAAAAACAAAAUGUGAGUGGGAGCGUGUGUGAGGCAGUGAAUGCUGUGAGGUCAGAGCAGCGCACUCACUGAAAUUAAAAAGAAAAAAAAAGGGUCCGACGUGAAGGUGGAGGUGGAGGUGAAGCGGAGGGUUUCGGCUAACCACUGAGGCGUUACAGCGGGGACAGGAGGGGAGGAACUGACCCCUCUGACCAGACAGCGGCAGCUACUGUGGGUGACACGGCUCUAACCGAGUUGAGGGGCCCGUGAAGGCCACACAGAUCAUCCUCAAGACGAUGAGCCAAGAGAGGGCGUCUCCACCGGCUGCUCCAGCCCCACCAGCACCUCCACCAGCACCAUGCUCUCCAGCCUCUCCAGCACAUGUAGGGAAGAACUAACUACUCCAUAGACAGAGAGAAAUGCUGCCUUGCCGUGUUGAGAAUGGACCCGACUGCUGGAUGUUUUUUUAAAAAUGUUUUUUUGUUUGAUUUUUAAAAAAAAAACAUUUCAAUAUGACAUUUGCAAAGCAAGGGAAAACAUGUUAUUGAUCAGAUGAUGCUCUCGAGAGUAUGGGUUCAUUUGACUGCUAUAGUGAUAGUAGUGAUAGUGUUCAAUAGUGAUUGAAAGGCUAAUUUAAUUUUCUGUCGGUGGAAAACGGAGAUGUUUUAAAUGAUUGUUUAGUGCCUGUUUAGGGUGUGUUUAGUUCAUGUUCAGGAGACUGACUGUGCCUUGGUGACAAAUGCAUACAGCAAAAUAAGAAGGCACUUUAAAAAAUGACGGUUGUUUCAGGGUUUCUGUGUAACCUGUUUGUAUGAUGUGAUUUCAUUCAUUGUCUUAUAUUAAAAAGAACUUCUAUCUAUUAUUCUUGUGUGAAUUUCGUGCCUUGCUGGCACUCCAACACAGAUAAUUUGGUGAAUAUUAAAGUGCAUUUCAUGUUCUUGGCCCAGACAGAACCAAGCAUUAAUCAAUAAACUCUUAAAAUGAUUCUGCAAUAAAGGAAGUAACCAGUGUGAGGAGCAUGGAGUGGAGCUGCUACAGUGCUACUGUUGAACUACUCAUCAUUAGAUUGUUAUGAGUUUUAUAUCAUUCUGAAUAGGAUUUGACUUGAAUUCAGAAUAAGCAUGUUAAAGAAAGACUAAAACAGUGGUUAUGAAAUGUUCUGUGUGGAUUGUCUAUC